rnacentral:rRNA from 1 species
AGAGUUUGAUCAUGGCUCAGGACGAACGCUGGCGGCGUGCUUAACACAUGCAAGUCACGGGGGCCCGCAAGGGCAACCGGCGAACGGGUGCGUAACACGUGAGCAAUCUGCCGAUUUCUGGGGGAUAGCCGGCCCAACGGCCGGGUAAUACCGCAUACGCUCGUUGAGAGGAUUCUCUCGACGAGGAAACCUCCGGGGGAAAUCGAGGAGCUCGCGGCCUAUCAGCUAGUUGGUGGGGUAACGGCCCACCAAGGCGAUGACGGGUAGCUGGUCUGAGAGGAUGGCCAGCCACAUUGGGACUGAGAAACGGCCCAGACUCCUACGGGAGGCAGCAGUGGGGAAUCUUGCGCAAUGGCCGAAAGGCUGACGCAGCGACGCCGCGUGUGGGAGGACGCCCUUCGGGGUGUAAACCACUGUUGCCCGGGACGAACAUCCUCUUUCGAGAGGACUGACGGUACCGGGUGAGGAAGCACCGGCUAACUCCGUGCCAGCAGCCGCGGUA